CGGAGGCACCUGCACAGGUGCUGCAUGGCUGUCGUCAGCUCGUGUCGUGAGAUGUUGGGUUAAGUCCGCAACGAGCGCAACCCUUAUCCCUAGUUGCCAUCAGGUUAAAGCUGGGGAACUCUGGGGAGACUGCCGGUGAUAAACCGGAGGAAGGCGGGGAUGACGUCAAGUCCUCAUGGCCCUUACAUCCCGGGCUACACACGUGCUACAAUGGCAGGUACAGAGGGCUGCGAAGCCGCGAGGUGGAGCGAAUCCCAGAAAACCUGUCUCAGUCCGGAUUGAAGUCUGCAACUCGACUUCAUGAAGGGCGGAAUCGCUAGUAACCGCGAAUCAGCAGGUCCGCGGUCCGAAUACGUUCCCGGGUCCUU
rnacentral:rRNA from 1 species